rnacentral:rRNA from 1 species
CCUACGGGCGGCAGCAGUGGGGAAUAUUGCACAAUGGGGGAAACCCUGAUGCAGCGACGCCGCGUGAGUGAAGAAGUAUUUCGGUACGUAAAGCUCUAUCAGCAGGGAAGAAAAUGACGGUACCUGACUAAGAAGCCUCGGCUAACUACGUGCCAGCAGCCGCGGUAAUACGUAGGGGGCAAGCGUUAUCCGGAUUUACUGGGUGUAAAGGGAGCGUAGACGGCAGCGCAAGUCUGGAGUGAAAUCCCAUGGCUUAACCAUGGAACUGCUUUGGAAACUGUGCAGCUAGAGUGCAGGAGAGGUAAGCGGAAUUCCUAGUGUAGCGGUGAAAUGCGUAGAUAUUAGGAGGAACACCAGUGGCGAAGGCGGCUUACUGGACUGUAACUGACGUUGAGGCUCGAAAGCGUGGGGAGCAAACAGGAUUAGAUACCCGGGUAGUC